rnacentral:misc_RNA from 1 species
GCUGACAAGGACAAGAACAGGAACGUCCUGCCAAACCCUGUAUCGGACAGAGUCAGCUGGGGAUCCAUUUCCUCUACGAAUAGUACUUUGAAUCCGCAAAAGAGUGACAGGUAAGUUCCGAACCUCUUCAUUACAGACAUCACAAAUCUUGUUGCCUUUUAUGCUAAACCAUUUUACAGCACAUGAUUGAUGAGCUAAGGCUAGUUCGCCUUUACAGCUACACUCCAUCUUCAAAGUUUCCGAAUCCUCCCCAAGUUCGAUGAAGCAGAUUCUGCAGACAGCCUCUUCUUGAGUGAUGUCUCCACCAAAAUUAGCAUUUUCAACUGAACCAUAACACUAAGAGAGAAACAAACAAUGGCCAUGGGAGUUGCUGCUCACUUCAAUCGUUUCUGGUUCCUUCUCUUCGUCCUCUAUUUCUCCAUCUCCCUCUCCUCCAUUUCUGGAUCUGAAGAGGAUUGUGUUUACAGUGCAUAUAUCCGAACUGGAUCAAUCAUCAAAGGUGGAACCGAUUCGAUCAUCAGUUUAACUCUCUUUGAUGAAAACGGGUACGGUAUUCGAAUAAAAAACCUGGAAGCUUGGGGUGGGCUUAUGGGCCCGGGUCACAACUAUUUUGAGAGAGGAAGUUUGGAUAUCUUCAGUGGUCGAGGUCCAUGCUUGACGGCGCCGAUCUGUAAAAUGAAUUUGACUUCCGAUGGAACAGGUUCAGGUCAUGGAUGGUACUGUAACUACGUUGAGGUCACCGUUACCGGAGUCCAUAAACAAUGCAACCAACAGUAUUUCGAAGUGGAGCAGUGGCUGGCGACCGAUGCGUCGCCUUAUCAGCUGACUGCCAUUAGAGAUCUAUGCA